rnacentral:lncRNA from 13 species
CUCCCUCCCCUUUCUUCCCAUCCCCCUCCCCAAGUCAGAUCCUGCCCCAUCCCCAUCCCCUUCCCUCCCUCAGCCCUAAGCCACCCCCACCUCUGUCCUGGCCGCCUCAGGGCGCCCUGAGAGGACCAGGACAUGCGGGUGCCGUGGCUGCUCUUUUGGCUCCUCCUGCUGGGGUUUCCCAGCCACCAAUCCACCCCUGAAGCAAAAAAUUUGGAUAUCCCAGCUUUACGUCAAGAAAAACAAAGACACUGUAUCUUUAGAAUGCCUAAACACACUACCAGCCAUGCAAAUAACAUGAGACAGGCCAUGAGUUUUCCACCUGAUUAUCUGUAUCCUUGGCAUGGCUUUCUUGGCGUUCUGUGGAUGCUUUUAACUAUUGUGUUUCUGGGAGUUUCUACCGUUGGCCUUUUCCUCCGAAAAAUUACCUUCUGUGUGAGUAUACUAACUUCCUGUAGAGAUAUACUUGUAAUCACACAUAAGAAGAAAUUAUUUAAAACAAUUCAUGGUUCUGGAC